rnacentral:rRNA from 1 species
GACGAACGCUGGCGGCGUGCUUAACACAUGCAAGUCGAACGGUGAAGGGACUGGUUUUGCUGGUCCUGGAUGAGUGGCGAACGGGUGAGUAACACGUGAGUAACCUGCCCCCUUCUUCUGGAUAACCGCAUGAAAGUGUGGCUAAUACGGGAUAUUCUGGGUCUGUCGCAUGGUGGGCCUGGGAAAGAUUGCGCCUUUUUUGGUGUUUUUGGUGGGGGAUGGGCUCGCGGCCUAUCAGCUUGUUGGUGGGGUGAUGGCCUACCAAGGCGGUGACGGGUAGCCGGCCUGAGAGGGUGGACGGUCACACUGGGACUGAGACACGGCCCAGACUCCUACGGGAGGCAGCAGUGGGGAAUAUUGCACAAUGGGCGCAAGCCGGAUGCAGCGACGCCGCGUGAGGGAUGGAGGCCUUCGGGUUGUGAACCUCUUUCGCAAGUGAAGCAGGCCUGCCUCUUUUUGUGGGUGGGUUGACGGUAGCUGGAUAAGAAGCGCCGGCUAACUACGUG